CCUUCGAUAGCUCAGUUGGAAGAGCGUGAGACUGUAAUUGGUUACCUAAGUGCAUCUCAAGGUCACUGGUUCGAUCCCGGUUCGAAGGA